AACGCAUAUUGCGCCCUUUGGUAUUCCGAAGGGCAUGCCUGUUCGAGCGUCAUUAAUCACAAUAUCAAGCUUGGCUUGUUGUUGGGCCCUGUGUCACCUGGUGACAGGUCCAAAAGACAAUGACCGGUGUCAUACAGACUCCAUUUGCAACGAGCUUAUUACAGCACGCAUCUGGUAGUGGUGUGACCCGCUGAAAGCCUCUGGCACCCUUCUCAAGGUUGACCUCGGAUCAGGUAGGAAUACCCGCUGAACUUAA
rnacentral:misc_RNA from 1 species